rnacentral:rRNA from 1 species
AUGAACGCUGGCGGCGUGCCUAAUACAUGCAAGUCGAGCGGCAGCAUGUCUCUCACCACCGUUUCGGUAGUUGUGAACCAUUAAAGUUCACAAAGUAACUCGGGGAAGUGGUGAGAGAUGAUGGCGAGCGGCGGACGGCAGAGUAACGCGUAGGAACAUACCCCAAACUGAGGGAUAACUGCUCGAAAGAGUAGCUAAUACCGCAUGUGAUCUUCGGAUUAAAGCUUCGGCGGUUUGGGAAUGGCCUGCGUCCGAUUAGCUUGUUGGUGAGGUAAAAGCUCACCAAGGGCGACGAUCGGUAGCUGGUCUGAGAGGAUGAUCAGCCUGACUGGAACUGAGAACGGUCCAGACUCCUACGGGAGGCAGCAGUAGGGAAUUUUCCACAAUGGGCGAAAGCCUGAUGGAGCAACGCCGCGUGCAGGAUGAAUGCCUUCGGGUUGUAAACUGCUUUUAUUAGUGAAGAAUAUGACGGUAACUAAUGAAUAAGGGUCGGCUAACUACGUG